AGCACAAAAUUAUUGUCCAAACCCCAGCAAGUUUGUCUAUAAAUCUUGCUUUCCCUUUGUACUAUCAUUCAUCUCCACGUUGUGGUGAUAGGAGUUUCGAGGUUAUUGUUUCUGCUUCCGAUGAUGAAUGGUUCUUCAGCAAAGCUGGUGGCAAUUACAACACUAGUGUUGCUUCUGAUGGGGGAUUUCCAAGCAAUUUGUGGACUACUUCCUCAUGGUUUCUUUGAAUGUCAAAGUGAUAUUUGAGCACGAAAGUAGUGCCCGUUCGCCGCAUCCUAAGAUCAUUUGAUGGGCCGCAGCCACCUGCACCUCAUAGGAAUCAAGGAUAUCGGCAAGACUGUCCCAACCGCCCCUGAUAGGAAUCAAGGAUAUCGGAAAAUUUGUUGUUUUUAAGAAGAGUUAAAUUUAUGUCCCCUACUCUUUCAUUGUAUUUUUACUUUAUUAUUUCUUUUUAUAUUAUGAGCUAAGGUUUAUGUCCUUUUAACUUAGUGUAAUUUCUUGUUCUGAUUCAAUAAAAUUUCUCUUGUACCGUCGA